CCCGGUUGGCCGCUCGGUCGCUCCCUCCCCCCUAUAUAUACGGCGCGCUCCCGGCGGCGCUCUGGCAGUGGGCCGCGCGCCCCCGCGCCGUGAGGAGCUGCAGCUAUGGGGGGGCGCUUUUGGAGCCUCCAUCCCGGCCGGCCGUGAGCUCAGUUUGCAGCGGGACCACCCCCGAGUCCCCCAGAGUGGGGGUCGAUGUAGGGCUGUCCUCCCCCACCCCACACAGCACAGCGUUCUCCCUGGGCCGUUUUCCUUUGGGGUUUUUCCAGGGUCCUUUGGGUGGAGGUGAAGCCCCAACAGCGGCCCCACGUGGCGCGGAGGGAUAAAAGGGCCGAAAAAAUAAUUCCUUCCCCCCCCCCCGCAAAAAAAAGUUUAAAGAAAAGGAAAAAAUGUUUUUAUUUCCAGCUUUUUUACUUUGGGGGGGUGGGAGGGGGCAAUAGUAUUGUGUGGAGGGGUAACGAAUGCGGGGGUGGAAAAGGAGUCUUCAUAAUGGGGAAGGUGGGGGGGGAAUGGGGGGUUUAUAUGAAUGGGGGGGCAUUAAAGGGGGAGGGUCAUAAAGGAGGGGGUCUGUAAAUAAUGGAGGAGUCAAUAACGGGGUGGGGGGGGGUAACAAUGAGGGGGGGGGGAAUGGGAGAGUCACAAAAGACCCAUUUGGGGGGCAGAAAUAAACCCAAGGGGGGGCGGCGGAAGGUUGAUUUGGGGUCACAAAAGCCCCAUGUGGGGCUACAGAACACCAUUUUGAAGCCGUAAGAAAACAAUUUGGGGCCGCAGAAAAUGGAUUUUUUUGGUCGCGGGGGCCCCUUUUGAGCCCCAAAAGGUCACAUCUGUCGGUGUUUGUGCAGCCCCGUACACCGCCGCCACCACAGAUGGGGCUGAGAUAUCCCAGUGCAGAGCUGGGCUACCACAAAAGGAGCCUGCGAUACCCCAAUGCCCCCCAAAUGGCUCGGAAUUCCCCCAAACCGGCCUCAAAAAUGGGUUUGAAAUCCUCCCCACACCCCCAAAAUGGGCCUGAAAUCCCCCCCUUCCCCCACCCCACCCCCAGAGCGGACCCUGGAUCCCCCAAACAGCGCCUGAGACGCCGCAAAACGGUUCUGGGAUGCCCCGAAAUGGGCCCGAAUUUCCCUAAAAUGGGCCGGGAGGAGCCCAGCCCCCACCCCCCCACUCACGCUGCAGGGGGGAGGUGGGAGCCGGUGGCGGAGGGGCCCGGGAAGCGGCCGCCGCCCAGCGACACCCGCAGCUCUGUUCCCAUUUCCCAGCGGGAGCGCACUUCCGGGUCGCUGGCUGAUGGCGUCACUGCACGCAUGCGUCGCGUCGCUACGCUACAGAGCAUGCGCGGCAACGCCCGGGAUAGGGCGGCCACGCCCCUGCCCAUUGGAGCAUGCGCAGAUUGAACGGACGGCUCGCGUGCUUUGGAGCAUGCGCAGAAGUGCUCGGCUUCGCGCUCAGGGUCGCCGUUCCUUUCACAGUGCCAAGGCUAAGCCACGCCCUCAAUGGUGGCGCAUGCGCAGUAGUGCGCCACCCGGGGAGAACGGCGCAUGCGCCGCGCGUCUCUCGUUCCCGGAACGGAAGUGCGGGGGAGGGAGCUCUGCGCAUGCGCACAGCGCGCGGAGGGCACCGGAAGUGGGGAGGGGCUCGGGAGAAACCCCCUUUCCCCCCCUCCCCCCGCCGGGCCUACGGGUACCCGUGUGUACCCUGGGGACUUACAGGACCCCAUAGAGACCCAUUGGGACAGUGGGGACCUAUAGGAGCUGUAGUGCCCCAUAGAGACCCGUUGGGCCCCACAGAGGCCCUAUAGAACCCAUAGAGAACUAUGAGGGCCCUUAAGAGACCAGUAGGGAGCUAUAGAGACCCAUACGAGCCCCGUGGGCCCACAGACACCCUUGAGACCCAUAGGAAACGUAGGGCCCCACAGAGACCCGUGGGGACCUAUAGACACCUUUGGGAUCUGCCGCACCCCAUAGGGACCCUUAGGAACCUAUAGGACCCAUAGGGGCGUGUGGUCACCCCGCGGCCCUAUAAGACCCACAGGGGCCCACAGAGAACCCAUAGGACCUAUAGGAACCCCAGAGAUGUACAGGACCCAUAGGGACCCCCAGAAACUCAUACAACCCAUAGGGACCCCACAGAUCCAUAAGAGCCAUAGGGACCCCAUAAACUCCCAUAGGGACCCCCAGAGACCCAUAGGAACCCCAGGGAUGUACAGGGCCCCCAUAAGGAACCCCACAGACCCACAGGACCCAUAGGAACCCAAUAAGACCCAUAGGAACCCCAGGGAUGUACAGGGCCCCCGUAGGGAACCCCACAGACCCAUAGGAACCCCAGGGAUGUACAAGGCCCCCAUAGGGAACCGCACAGACCCAUAGGACCCAUAAGGACCCCCAGAGAACCAUAGGAACCCCAGGGAUGUACAGGGCCCCCAUAGGGAACCCUGCAGACCCAUAGGACCCAUAGGAACUCCAGGGAUGUACAGGGCCCCCAUAGGGACCCCCACAGACCCAUAGGACCCAUAGGAACCCCAUAAGACCCAAA
rnacentral:lncRNA from 1 species